rnacentral:rRNA from 1 species
GAUGAACGCUGGCGGCGUGCCUAACACAUGCAAGUCGAACGGAAAGGCCCUGCUCUUGCGGGGCGCACGAGUGGCGAACGGGUGAGUAACACGUGAGUAACCCGUCCCUGUCUUUGGGAUAACUUUAGGAAACUGGGGCUAAUAUCGGAUAGGAGCUCCUGCUGCACGGUGGGGGUUGGAAAGUUUCGGCGGUUGGGGAUGGACUCGCGGCUUAUGGGCUUGAUGGUGGGGUAGUGGCUUACCAAGUGUUUGACGGAUAGGCGGCCUGGGAGGGUGGCCGGCCACAUUGGGACUGAGAUACGGCGCAGACUCCUACGGGAGGCAGCGGUGGAGAGUAUUGCGCAGUAGGCGGGAGCCUGAUGCGGAGGCGCCGCGUGCGGGAUGACGGCCUUCGAGUUAUGAACCGCUUUCGCCUGUGACGAAGCGUGAGUGACGGUAAUGGGUAAGAAAGCACCGGCUAACUACGUG